rnacentral:lncRNA from 1 species
AGCCCAUGUAGAGAAAGGUUUGAGACAACUUUUACAUAUAUACUCACGUGGCAUUCCACUUGGCUGCCAACUAGGCAAAGAGGUCAUGUCUACGUUUGUCACAUUGCUCCGAUAGUUCAACAAUUCAAUACUGCGAACUCCCCCAUCCACAUCUACUUCAGCUUUUUAAACAUCGGAAUUCUACUCACUUUAGUAUUCUCACCUCCUUGAAAAGUUCGACAAAAAUCAAAAUCCAACACCUCAUAAGAAUAGUUUUGGGGGAUAAUUAUUAAGCCUUUACCUACGUGCUUGCCAACUAGGCAAAGAAGCCAUGUCCGGAUCGUCGCUUAUAAGCAAGAUGUCACUUGGACCCCAAAGAUUUGCAUGCCAUUCACUCUUGAGGCAAUAGAGAGCCCAUCAGGGCCAUUGAGGUAGUCGUAUUCGGGGCAGUUCUGAGCCCCAUAGGAUGGUUUCAAACACUAUAACGUUUGAGGCAUCCAAAUUUAUAUCUACAUCAACCCUUUAUUCUCUUCAAGGAGAACUGGAGAGACCCCAUCCAUAGUCGCACCAAACACCUCUCUUAAGAUCAAGGCGAUUGGAACCUGAAA